GGGCGGGAGCCUGAACCAGCCAUGCCGCGUGCAGGAAGACGGCGUUCUGCGUUGUAAACUGCUUUUGUACGGGAAGAAAAGGCCCAUGCGUGGGACAUUGCCGGUACCGUACGAAUAAGCACCGGCUAACUCCGUGCCAGCAGCCGCGGUAAUACGGAGGGUGCAAGCGUUGUCCGGAUUUAUUGGGUUUAAAGGGUGCGUAGGCGGCCGUAUAAGUCAGCGGUGAAAGUUUCCGGCUCAACCGGGGAAUUGCCGUUGAUACUGUAUGGCUUGAGUUCCGAUGGGGUACAUGGAAUUUAUGGUGUAGCGGUGAAAUGCAUAGAUACCAUAAGGAACACCGAUAGCGAAGGCAUUGUACUGUCGGCGACUGACGCUGAGGCACGAAAGCGUGGGUAGCGAACAGGAUUAGAUACCCUGGUAGUUCAUCGCCGUAAACGAUGAUCACUCGCUGUUAUCCCGUUAGGGGUAGUGGCCAAGCGAAAGCGUUAAGUGAUCCACCUGGG
rnacentral:rRNA from 1 species